AUUGACAGGCCGCGAUGGCAGUGUGGUUAGCUGGUUGUUAAGUUAUUAUCAACAGCCAGUAACGCCACUGCCUCUGCGUUCUGCUCAAA
rnacentral:pre_miRNA from 1 species